GACAGAGGGUGCGAACGUUGCUCGGAAUUACUGGACGUAAUGCGCGUGUAGGCGGAUCGGCAAGUCAAGUGUGAAAUCCCUGGGCUCAACCCAGGAACUGCACUCGAAACUGCCGGUCUUGAGUAGUGGAGAGGAAUGGCGGAAUUCCCGGUGGAGAGGUGAAAUUCGUAGAUAUCGGGAGGAACACCAGUGGCGAAGGCGGCCUUCUGGACACUUACUGACGCUGAGACGCGAAAGCGUGGGGAGCAAACAGG
rnacentral:misc_RNA from 1 species